UACGAAGGGUGCGAGCGUUGUUCGGAAUUAUUGGGCGUAAAGGGUUCGUAGGCGGGAAUGUAAGUCGAAUGUGAAAACCCUGGGCUUAACCUGGGACGUGCAUUCGAUACUGUAUUUCUUGAGUUCUGGAGAGGGUGGUGGAAUUGCUGGUGUAGGAGUGACAUCCGUAGAGAUCAGCAGGAACGCCGGAGGCGAAAGCGACCGCCUGGCCAGACACUGACGCUGAGGAACGAAAGCGUGGGGAGCAAACAGG
rnacentral:rRNA from 1 species